ensembl:lncRNA
AUGAAUUAUAUUUCUUUGGCUAACUGGGAUCCUCUGACCACAGAUCCCCUUCCUGUUCAGACCUUCAUCAUCGUCGGUGCGGUGGUCGGGGUGGUGGCACUUCUUGUCAUCAUCGCUGCUGUUCUCAUCGCAUACAAGAAGAGAGUCAAAGUGACGGAGGAUGUUCAAACACCAACCCAACAGCCUGAUGAGCCAGAGCUGACCUACAUCACUGUCAGCCACCGGCCGCCCGCUCCUCACAAGAAGGUCAAAGAGCAGGAUGUGACAUAUUCUACAAUCAAUAUUGGUGACGACGGGAGCAGACGAUGAUCCCUCUGCAGCUUUGUCAGCAAAGCGGAAGAAAUCAGAAGAAAUAAGACUUGACACGUGUGGUGUUCAUAGAUCCUGCCGUGUGUUCGUUGUGUUAGCUUGUGUAGGACAUGCUUUGCUUAGCGUUAGGAUGGUGCUUCCAUUUAACGGCACACUCUAGGUCAGACCUGGAGUUCUAUUACUUAGUUUAUGAUUUUAAAAAGACAAAACCCAUUAACCAGAAUUGGCAACAUGGUUCCUUAUCGCACGCAAAAAAGUUUGUAUCGCUGUAGAGAAAAAAUGCAGAACAUUACAGUUCUUAUUCAAGAUAGUCAGUUAAUAAAAUGACCCUGAAUAGUCGAAUGUUCUUUCUUGUGAACAUAUUGUCGCAUCCAACGAUGGCAUUUAGUAUUGUACUGGAAUCAUUUAUGUUGUGUUUGUAAUUUUGUGUCAUAUUGCAUUAUCAGUGCUACGAUAUCCA